UACGAAGGGGGCUAGCGUUGUUCGGAAUUACUGGGCGUAAAGGGCGUGUAGGCGGUCCGCUAAGUCAGGUGUGAAAGGCCUGGGCUCAACCCAGGAAAUGCGCCUGAGACUGACGGACUUGAGUCCGGGAGAGGAUGGUGGAACUCCCCGUGUAGAGGUGAAAUGCGUAGAUAUUGGGAAGAACACCCGUGGCGAAGGCGGCCAUCUGGACGGUGACUGACGCUGAGACGCGAAAGCGUGGGGAGCAAACAGG
rnacentral:rRNA from 1 species